GAUCGUUUGAUAUAUGGACCUGCAGCAGAGUUUAGACCCAGACACGGCUAGUGACGUCAGACUGAACAACCGGAUUACGCUAUUGAACACAGAAAAUACAGCCAUCAGAUUUCUUGUAGACCUAGCACACUUCUGGUCUGUGUCUGAAUACAUAUAUAAGUACAUAGAUGCAGAUGAACACUGUAAACAUGAUGAAAGAUCGACAGACUAACUCGAACAUAUCUUUAAUCUUUAGGACUUUGGGUAGCGCUUCCUUUCCUUCCUGUCAACCUCUCCAGAGGGGUGUCUGCUGAUGGCAGAAAGAUUACAUCACCUCUGGUUGGAACCCUGGACAGUGCCACAACCUUUGGCUUGGUGUAAAAUGUGAUGCCCCAUCGCCACCUUCUGACCUAACUUCUUCUCAGCUCUGUGACUACUUCAAGAGGGGCAUUCCUGUGUGGAGGUGUGCCAGGCAGCUCGUUUUACCUGUGAACUUGCGUACUUUCACUUCAUCAACAACAAAGUGCUAUGCUUCAUGUGGAGAUGCAAGGACUGUGGGACAACAUUAACAAAAAGAUCUGAAUUGCUCAAACACUACAAACUGAUUCAUAGGCAUUACGGACGAGGCCACUCAUAUCCAUGCACUUAUUUAAAUUGUGCAUGUAGGUUCAAGACUUGGAACGCCCUACUGAGCCAUCUAUCAAGAAAUCACCCUGCCCAACAAGCAGUCUCCAAAGCUGCAUCCAAAUUCACUUGCCAUAUUUGUGGCCAUAAUCAACUCUCCACAGAAAGAGAAUAUUUUCAACAUAUCUAUCAGCAUCUUAAAAAUAAGGAAACUGUAACAUGUGUGUUCCAAAACUGUGAAUAUAAAACCAAUGUCUAUGAGAACUUCAAAAGUCAUAAAUACAGAAAACACUCUGGUACAGUGAACACAUUUAAGCCUGGAAUAAGUUCUGUUGAUGAAUCUUGUGCCAGUGUUGCCAGUGAUAUUUCAGAUGUGGAAAUUAUAGAGAGUGAUGUAAAUUAAAAUUCUGCUUUUGACAAUGGGUAUUCUGAAAACUUAGAGAAGGAUAUUGAGCUUCAGUGCUCCUUAAGUUGGAACACAUCUUUCUUGUGUCUAAUGCAGCUGUAGAUGAGCUUUUGCAGGAGUUAAACUAUUUGAUUGGUUCUGUCUCUGUGGCGAUUACCCAAAAGACUAUUAGCCAAGUAUUACAAGACAACGGAUGCCAAUUUGACCAGUCAGUUGUUGAAAAGCUAGCCAGUGUACUAUGUGAGACAAACCCUGUAAAAAAAGCAAUUGGAGAUAAAGGUCCACUUUCCAGUCCUUGGAGACGAAAAGCAUACUAUAAGAGCCACUUUAAAGUAGUGGAACCAGUGGAAUAUAUACUUGACAGAAAAAAUAACAAGUCAUUCCAAUAUAUUUCAAUUUUAAAGUCUUUGCAGCAUAUUCUUGACUGCCAGACAAUCUUGGAUCAGGCUGUUAAUUUGAAUACUGUAGAUAAUCAGCCUCAAAAAACUUCUGUGCACUACAAAACUAUCUUCGAUGGUGACUUCUUCCAUGAAAAUGGACUGUUGUCCAAGCAGGAAAGCAUUUCAUUGAUAUUAUACAUUGAUGAAUUCGAAAUAUGUAAUCCCCUUGGUACAUCACGGAGGAAGCAUAAAAUUUGUGGAUUGUACUGGGUUUUGGGUAAUUUGCCACCAGGCUGUAAUUCUGCUUUAACCUCAAUCUAUUUGGCUGCUUUAAUCAAAAGUAAUGAUCUGCAGUGCUAUGGGUAUGAGAAAGUGUUAAAACCUGUAAUUAAUGAUCUUGUAAUUUUGGAACAGAGUGGGAUAUUUCUGUCAAAGUUGGGCAGAACAGUAAAAGGCACUGUUCAGUGUGUUGUUGCCGACAACCUUGGUGCACACAGUAUUGCUGGAUUCUUUGAAAAUUUCUCAGGGACAUACGUAUGUAGAUUUUGCACUGCAGAAACAUCAGAGUUCCAGACUAUUGAAGUCAGAAGUGAAGUCUUUACUUUAAGAACAAAAGACAUUCAUGCAGAUCAUUUACGAAUUAUUGAGGAAAACAAAUGGCCCAGUUAUUAUGGUGUGAAAUCAAAGUGUAUUUUGUCAAAGCACCUCUCACAUUUUGAUGUUACCACUGGGUUUCCACCUGAUGUUGUACAUGAUCUUUUUGAGGGAAUUGUUCCUUUUGAACUUGCGCUUUGCCUCAAUUUGUUAAUCAAAAAAAAGUAUUUCACAUUAUGUACAUUGAAUGAAGCAAUAUCAUCUUUCAACUUUAAGUGGGCUGACAAAACAAAUCGACCUCAUCCUGUGGCUCUCAGUUUUGCAUCCAAAAAAAGUGUAGGAGGGAAUGCACACGAGAACUGGAGUCUUAUCAGAUUUUUGCCUUUGUUCGUUGGGCAGAGUGUACCCUGUGAGGAGCCUGCUUGGCACAUCUUAACAGACUUGUAGGACAUUGUUGAUCUUGUUGUCAGUCCUGUUCAUACUGAGGACUCCAUUGCAUAUCUUGGUUUUAAGAUCUCCGAGCACAGAAUCAAGUUUCAAGAGGUUUUCCCAGAUGUUAAUCUUAAACCAAAGCACCACUACUUGGAACAUUAUCCAUACUUGAUUCGUAAGUUUGGGCCACUGGUUGCACUAUGGACUGUGCGAUUCGAAGCAAAGCAUAGUUUUUUUAAAAGAGUUGCAAGGAACAUCAGAUGCUUCAAAAAUGUACUUCUUUCCCUUUCACAGAGACAUCAGUAUCAGAUUGCAUAUCAUUUGCAUGCAAUUAGCUUUGCCAAACCCCCACUGGAAGUAACAGAUGUUUCCAUUGUUCACAUUGAUGUUCUUAACAAGGACAUCUCAAAUGCACUGAGACAGAAGUCUCCAGAUAUGGACAAUGUGUGCUUGGCUAAAAGUGUAGCAUAUAAUGGAAUAAUCUACAAGUGUGGGAUGAUCUUGAUCCACGGCUCACUGGGAGGACUGCCAGAGUUUGGUGAAAUCAUCCAAAUGGUGAUACUGCAGGACAAACUAAUCUUCAUUCUGAAAAAGCUUAGCGGAUGGUAUAUGGAACACUACAGAGCUUAUGAUCUCAAAACAUCACCAAGCAAAGAAGUGGAACUUGUUGAGCCACAAGAACUGCAUGAUACCUACCCACUGGCAGACUAUAAAAUUAGAGGGAUGCGUCUUGUCACCUUGAAAAGAUAUGUCCAUGUUUAAAGGACCACCAUGGCUGGUUCAACACCUGCAAGACUGAAGGUGAUUUUAGGAGAGAACAACAUUGAAAAGCUGACUCUUCCAAAUGGCAUCCCAGAGUCACUUGAAGACCUUCUCAGCACGAUAAAGACUACCUUUGGGUUAAAAGGUAACUUCAGACUGCAAUACAUGGACCAAGACUUUGGCAACGACUUCUUCAAUCUGAAUUCUACCACCGAACUUCGGAAUUUGGGGACAAUCAAAGUGAUCCACCAGCAAACAAAUCCACCUUUGAUCAGUGCCGAUCAGUCCACUUCAUCUCUGUCUCUUUCAUUUGAGUCUGAUGACGGUAUUUCGGUGGCAUCAAAUGACACAAUUAUCCUCUCAUCCCCUGAAUCUAUGUCAUCUCGAACACAACAGUGGCCAGAAGACUUUGCAAUUCCCCAAUUUUCAUAUGACACAGAGCUACAGCUAGAGAGGGGGAAUACUGAGUACCGUGUGAGCCAAAAAAUGUUGACUUUAAGCGCCCGAAUGCUGUCUGAUAUCCUGAAAAGAGUUGCAGAAGAAAUUUACCGUUACAAGGCCUAUCCAGAGGAUGCACAUUUCUGCGCAGCUGCAGAGGCCCUUAUCAAAAAGCACCCAUGUUUGAAAGAACCUGGAUCAUUCAAUGGCUGCUACGGUUGGAAACAACGACUGAAGUACAAAAUGGCAAACUACAGGACCCAGCUCAAAUUACAGGGGUGUCCAGAGCUGUGUGUAAACUCACUGAAAUCUAAAGCUACUACAGAUGCUUUCCCUGCUAAAAAAGUGAAGAAGCCAAAACGUUCUGAAGCUAACUUUUAUCCAUCCUUUCCUACUGGUGAGACUCUGGACAGCAUGGAAAAAGUGAGACUAGAACUUCUGACAGAGAUCGGGAUAAGGGACAAUGAAAGGGUCAUCGCAGACAAAAUGGCUAACACGUUUACCUACAGACGACAUGAGGUGGUAAACCAAGAACCAAGCAUUCAGGAACUGAAGGACAGAUAGCCUGCACUCUUCACACAGAAAGAGAUAAAUACAGAGUUCCAGAGGCUCAUGGCUGUUCCUCUUGAGUGGAAGUUCAUGGCCCAGUUAGACAUGCACUCAAGUCAGCUGAUCAAAGUCAUACGUGCCAAAGGAGGAGCAACACGCCAAAAGAUUGCGAACAUCAUGGACACAUUGGACCAGACAGUGGACAUUAAUCAUCGGAGGGAAUGUGUGCUGAAAGCCCUCACCAUCUUCCUGGGAGAAGAUGCAGAUGGCCUGAUCAAGGAAUACCUUGACUGUGGAGCAGAUGAUGUUCAGAGGGACCUGGAGGAGGUCACCAUGGCAGUGUAUGUGAUUCGGAAGGAGGGGGAGGGACUGCAGGAGCCACCUGAAGACAUUGGCAUUGUCAUUGAGGGUGUGGAAGUGUUGCAUGAACUAACUUCGGUUGCCUCAGCUUGUGCCCUGCUUCUAGGUUUGAUCUAUGCACUCAACCUAGCUUAUCCAAAACCCUUUCGCUUCACUUUUGAAGUGCUCCAAAAAAUCUUCAUGCAGCUUGAUCAGCACAAGAUGUCCCCCAAAGUCCAAAAUCUGUAUAUCAAACUUCAAAGCUCCCAGUAAUGGCACAGAACAAUGACCAACAAAUGGCCUUGUGCCAUAAUGCGAAGGAACAACUGUGUUUGGACAUAUAGCAUGUAAAAUAUGUAGUCUCUUUUGGAUGUUGGGCCUUUUUUAUGCUCCAAGAGACCUCAAACCCUAAUUUAAUGUGCUUUUAUACAUACUUUGUAUGGUAUUUUUAUUUAUUUUUAAAAAAAUUUUUUUCAGACAUAUUUGCCUUCGUUUCAAGGGAAAGGUUGCAUUUCAGGUUUGAUGUGCUCAGUUAUACAACAAACUGUUGUGACAUUCUAAAACUCUAAAGGAGUGUUUAUAUUUUUUCAUCCCCAUUGGUCAGCUACACUGUUCAGAUAUUUAUUCAUUGACAGUUUCUGAAUACUCUUGGGGCACUUUUUCAUAGUUGACACUAUGUGUGUUGAGAUUGAUAUUUGUGUAAUACUGUGUUGCACUUUACACUUUGAUGACAACUUUGUGGUCCUACUAAGCGUUACUUGCAUUUUGUGCAUAUGUGUUUUAAAAAGGACAAAUGUGUAAUGUGUUUGACCAAAAGCUGUGUUGGUUGCCAUAAAGGUAAUACUUUAUUACAUUUAUACAAUAAAGCAUUUAAAAAAAAAAAAAAAAAAAAAAAAA